UCGAGCGGUAUAUACUGGAACGAAACUUCGGUCUAGAGAAGGUAUAGAGAGCGGCGGACGGGUGAGUAACGCGUAGGCAACCUGCCCCAUACAGAGGGAUAGCCUCGGGAAACCGGGAUUAAAACCUCAUAACACGAGAGUUUCACAUGUUACACUCGUCAAAGAUUCAUCGGUAUGGGAUGGGCCUGCGUCUGAUUAGCUAGUUGGUGAGGUAACGGCUCACCAAGGCAACGAUCAGUAGCCGACCUGAGAGGGUAAUCGGCCACAUUGGAACUGAGACACGGUCCAAACUCCUACGGGAGGCAGCAGUGGGGAAUAUUGCACAAUGGGCGAAAGCCUGAUGCAGCAACGCCGCGUGAGCGAUGAAGGCCUUUGGGUCGUAAAGCUCUGUCCUUGGGGAAGAAAAAAAUGACGGUACCCUUGGAGGAAGCCCCGGCUAACUACGUGCCAGCAGCCGCGGUAAUACGUAGGGGGCAAGCGUUAUCCGGAAUUAUUGGGCGUAAAGAGUGCGUAGGUGGUCAUGUAAGCGCAGGGUGAAAGGCAAUAGCUCAACUAUUGUAAGCCUUGCGAACUGCAUGACUUGAGUGCAGGAGAGGAAAGUGGAAUUCCUAGUGUAGCGGUGAAAUGCGUAGAUAUUAGGAGGAACACCAGUGGCGAAGGCGACUUUCUGGACUGUAACUGACACUGAGGCACGAAAGCGUGGGGAGCAAACAGGAUUAGAUACCCUGGUAGUCCACGCCGUAAACGAUGAGCACUACGUGUCGGGGUCGCAAGACUUCGGUGCCGCAGUUAACGCAUUAAGUGCUCCGCCUGGGGAGUACGCACGCAAGUGUGAAAC
rnacentral:rRNA from 1 species